rnacentral:lncRNA from 1 species
GCUUCCAUGACUAGAAUGUAAACUAGCAUUAAUAGGAUGCACUUUUCAGCUUAUAAGUUGUCAAGAAAAGUAGAAAGCAGGAGUCCUUGCACAAAUUCACAUUUUUGAGCCUUCUCCUCUUGGUCCUUGUCAGACAGUGCUAAAUGUUGAACAUUUCUGUUACUGAAAUAACUAACAAAUGUCAGUUAACAUCACAAGAAUGCUUCAAAUAUCAAAACAAGUUCCCAACAGCUUAUAAUAACAUUAUCUUCCCACUGGUCUAACGGUAAAGAAUAAACAAAGAAUAAUUAAGAAUUCCAAACAAUUUGAAAUGGUACAUAAAGGAUUGCCAGAACCAUGUUGGAAACUCCAUACACGCGGCUGUAUAUUGUAAUAAUUGCAGUAAGAGAACUCCCCAUGAAAGAUUCGUUUCAGAAAAACGUUCCUCAUCAGAAAAAAUAGCAUACAUAGAACCAUCGAACGAUUUUAUAAACCAAUCAUCAUGCUAGAGGAAUGAUUUCUUAUCAUUCACAGUGCAUGAUUUAAAAAGAGAAACCAAACAUUGCAGAAGUUCGCUCAAAUAUGCAAGCAUUUUGUCCAUCUUGCUUUCCGUUUUGGAUAAACACGAUCUUGCCCAGCGUCCAGCAAUAACAGGUUUAAAAUCAUGGUCGGGCAAAUCAAAUCUUUGCAUUCAAGUCAAUUUCAUUUAUUUGAAUAUUAAUUAAUUUUAUUUGUUGUGGUUGGAGUGUUCGAGCUUAUUUUGCAGAUCUUGUUUCAUCACGUCCAGUUGCGUCAUAAUGAUUCUCAUAUGAUUAUCAAUUGCUCAAAAAUAGUAAAAACAAUGCUUAAUUACAUAAAACAAAAGUACACAUUUAAAUCAUAGCGAUCUUACCUUUCCACCAAAUCUUCACCAGUGGAUUUUGGUAUUGAGAAAGCCCUAGUUGAAGAAAGAGGUUGAACUUCAGGAGGUUCAUCAACCACGGGUGGACUGUAUAUGAAGGACGAUAACAGUGAAUC